rnacentral:rRNA from 1 species
UACAGAGGGGGCAAGCGUUGUUCGGAAUUACUGGGCGUAAAGGGCGCGUAGGCGGCCCGCUAAGUCGAACGUGAAAUCCCCGAGCUCAACUCGGGAACUGCGUCCGAUACUGGCGGGCUUGAAUCCGGGAGAGGGAUGCGGAAUUCCAGGUGUAGCGGUGAAAUGCGUAGAUAUCUGGAGGAACACCGGUGGCGAAGGCGGCCAACUGGACGACUCCUGACACUGAGGCACGAAAGCUGGGGGAGCAAACAGG